UGAGUCAGUGGCUACAUAGCGAGAGUGUCCUAGGCAGAGGAAACAGCUUCUACAAAAGCCCUGAAGCAAGAGAAUGUUUGAAGUGUUCAAGAAUAAACAGGAGAUGCAGAAUGAAUGGAAUUGAGAGUGAGUGAGGCAGUCGGAUACAAGAGAGACUAAUAUGGGGCAGCACUGAAGACUGCUGACAGCAGCCACAUGAGUGAGCUCAGAGUGGACACAACAGCCCCUUCAGAGGCUGCAGGGAUGGCAGACAGCCUGACUGCAAUGUCGUGAAAGAUGCUGAGGCAGAACCAUGCAGCAAAGUCAUUCCCAGAUUCCUGACUCUCAGAAAAUGUGUGAGAUAAUAAAUGCUAUUAUUUUAAGCUGCUAAA
rnacentral:lncRNA from 1 species